rfam:Hordeum vulgare subsp. vulgare, WGS project CAJW01000000 data, contig: morex_contig_1566254
CUUGUACUCCCUCGGUCCCGAAUUACUUGUCACAGAAAUAGAUAGAAAUGGAUGUAUCUGGAACUAAAAAUACGUAUAGAUAUAUCCAUUUUUGCGAGAAGUAAUUCUGGACGGAGGAAGUAUGCU